rnacentral:sRNA from 1 species
AUUUGAUGAUGAGGGCAUUGAAUACAUAGUUGCUCAAAUCUUUCCCAAUACUCGGAAAGUGUCUCUCCAGAGAUGAGUCGAAUCCCACAUAUUUCUUUCCUUAUAUU